AUUUAUAAAGGUUUUAGUCCUUUUCUUUUUA
rnacentral:tRNA from 1 species